GGGAUGAAAUCACUUGGUUAACAAAAUUUCAGAGAGGAACAAUUUCUUUUCUUCCUAUCUAUUACUGCAUCUGCAGAGUUCUGUCACACCCGUAGUAGUAGUAGUAGUAGUAGUAGUAGUAGUAGUAGUAGUAGUAGUAGUAGUAGUAAUUAAUAGUAAUAAUGUAUGUUUCUAUCUGCCUCUCUGAUAGAAAGAGUUCAGGCAGGGAGAGGUAGAUGCAUGCUGGGAGUGGAACUCAUAUAGAUAUGGAGUGGCGGUUAAAAAUGAAUUAAAUAAUUAUUUGCUCAGUACUUCACUUUUCACAUAUUUAAAUGUUUUCACAGCUAAUUGGUCAUAACUCAAGCUAGAGAUUCGCAAAAAGGCAGGCACCCAGUAUUGUGGAAAACUCCAUAUUUGAUAUUUGCCAAAGACCUCGUUGUGUGGUCCUGAGAUUUUCCAAAUGCUAACAAAAAUCCUAAAAAAAAGUGAUAAUAUCUAAUGUCUUUUUCUCUGGAAGAACACUCAGUACUGGAAGGAAGACACAGAAAGCUGUGGACAUAUUAACCAAAAGAAAAUAAGAUGAGUAAAAUGUGGAUAAAAGAUGUAAAAUUUCACUUGAUGCAUGGAUAUAUUUUUAACUUCAAUGCCAUAUCAACAAAAUAAAACUUUUACCACAACCUUUACGUAAUAUCUAUUUUAAGUACCAACAGCAAUUUAACCAUAGGUUCCAUCAGGCACAAGUGAGUACUUAAUUGCCAGUCAGUUGAACAACAAUGACUGUUCAGUCCUGGCUCAUCACAAGGAUGCCAUCAAACUUGCUCAGCCAAUCUCCAUGGGUGAUAUUUUUAUAAACCUGUUUUCCUUUGCACUUGCAAUGGGCUACAAAGGCACAUGGAGCAGUCACCACCAGUUAGUUGAUAGCUAGUAACAUCUUGCAGUAAAGAAGAUGAAAGAAAUUAGAACUGGGAACCUGAAGAACUUCUGGAUAUUUCACCAAUGAACUGGAUUUUUUGAGUGGGAAAAGAUUUCAACAUAUUGGGCUCAAUUUUUCCAUGUCUCUUUGGAUGUUUUAUAAGUUUGGCUGUUGUCCCCCACAGAAGUAAACAUCUGCACACAUCUGUGGGCUUGGGCUGCUUGGGACAGCCCUUGAAGGAGCAGGAAUGUGCCACAAACCCACUGAACGGAAAUGGCUCUGGAAGAGAUAGAGCAACCCAGGGUCUGGCAGAGGGGUGUGCCUGCAGAGGAAAGAUGAUAAACAUAUAGAGGAAUCUGACUUGAAUUUAGGAAAGGCCUCGGAGAGUGAGGAGACAGAACCUGAAACAUCAGUAACAAAAAAGAUUUUGUCCAGUCUUGCAAAUUUGCUCGUUUGCAAAAUACUUUUUUAAGAGGAAAUGAAGAAUAAAAUAAAAAGUAAAAAAGCUUAAGUAAAUUAA
rnacentral:lncRNA from 1 species